rnacentral:other from 1 species
GUUCCAAUAAGACUAUAAGAGAAUUGAAAG